ACUCAAAGGAAUUGACGGGGGCCCGCACAAGCAGCGGAGCAUGUGGUUUAAUUCGAAGCAACGCGAAGAACCUUACCAGGACUUGACAUCCCCUGAAUUACUCGUAACUGAGGAAGCCCUCCGGGGCAGGGAGACAGGUGGUGCAUGGUUGUCGUCAGCUCGUGUCGUGAGAUGUUGGGUUAAGUCCCGCAACGAGCGCAACCCUUAUCCUUAGUUGCUAACAUUAAGUUGAGCACUCUAAAGAGACUGCCGGGGACAACUCGGAGGAAGGUGGGGAUGACGUCAAAUCAUCAUGCCCCUUAUGUUCUGGGCUACACACGUGCUACAAUGGGUAAAACAACGGGAAGCAAGCUAGUGAUAGCAAGCAAAUCCCUAAAAGUUACUCUCAGUUCGGAUUGUAGGCUGCAACUCGCCUACAUGAAGUUGGAGUUGCUAGUAAUCGCGAAUCAGAAUGUCGCGGUGAAUACGUUCCCGGGCCUUGUACACACCGCCCGU
rnacentral:rRNA from 1 species